rnacentral:snRNA from 1 species
GAAUAUAGAGGCAACCUGGCUGCAACAUCUGUCACCCUGUUGAUUAGACUGAUCUGACUGGCUAGAUGGGUAUCCUCUUCCUAACUCACCUCUCCAUGUACAUCCCUCCUGAAACUGGGUGCUUGGUUGAAGAGAAUGAUGACCACCUCUGCUAAAGGAGGACAAUUCUUUGGUCAAGGGUAGAUGAGUAACUGUGAUCCCUUGUUAGAACAACCUCCAAACAAGCGCUCAAAGUGUGAGAUAAUGACAAUAGAGUAUGGUAAGGAUAGGGUUACAUAUAAAAAUUAUUUUAAACGGGAAAAAAUUUUAGUUU